rnacentral:rRNA from 1 species
UACAUGGGGUGCAAACGUUGCUCGGAAUUAUUGGGCGUAAAGCGCACGUAGGCGGUCCGUUAAGUCGGAUGUGAAAUCCCUCGGCUCAACCGAGGAAGUGCAUCCGAAACUGGCGGGCUUGAGUACGAAAGAGGGUCGCGGAAUUCCCGGUGUAGAGGUGAAAUGCGUAGAUAUCUGGAGGAACACCGAUGGCGAAGGCAGGUCUCUGGGCCGAUACUGACGCUGAGGCGCGAAAGCCAGGGGAGCAAACGGG